rnacentral:lncRNA from 1 species
AGCAGUAUUGCUGCCCGCAGGUCCCACCUCCAGCCGUAAGGCGGUUUUUCCCUAUCUCAGUAGAUGGAGCAUACAAUCGGGUUUUAUACCGAGACAUUCCAUUGCCCAGGGACAGGCAGGAGACAGAUGCCUUCCUCUUGUCUCAACUGCAAGAGGCAUUCCUUCCUCUUUUACUAAUCCUCCUCAGCACAGACCCUUUACGGGUGUCGGGCUGGGGGACGGUCAGGUCUUUCCCUUCCCACGAGGCCAUAUUUCAGACUAUCACAUGGGGAGAAACCUUGGACAAUACCUGGCUUUCCUAGGCAGAGGACCCUGCGGCCUUUCGCAGUGUUUGUGUCCCUGGGUACUUGAGAUUAGGG